AGGGCACCACCAGGAGUGGAGCCUGCGGCUUAAUUUGACUCAACACGGGAAAACUCACCCGGCCCGGACACUGGAAGGAUUGACAGAUUGAGAGCUCUUUCUUGAUUCAGUGGGUGGUGGUGCAUGGCCGUUCUUAGUUGGUGGAGUGAUUUGUCUGGUUAAUUCCGAUAACGAACGAGACUCUAGCCUACUAAAUAGAUCGUCGGCUUACAAACGCCGGCGAGACUUCUUAGAGGGACAGGCGGUGAUUCAACCGCACGAAACAGAGCAAUAACAGGUCUGUGAUGCCCUUAGAUGUCCGGGGCCGCACGCGCGCUACACUGAAGUGAUCAGCGUGCUUUUUCAACCUACUCUGUCAAGAGUGGGGAACCCAAUGAACCUUCUUCGUGAUUGGGAUAGGGGAUUGUAAUUAUUCCCCUCGAACGAGGAAUUCCCAGUAAGCGCGAGUCAUAAGCUCGCGUUGAUUACGUCCCUGCCCUUUGUACACACCGCCCGUCGCUACUACCGAUUGAAUGUUUU
rnacentral:rRNA from 1 species